rnacentral:tRNA from 1 species
GAUAAAGUGCUAAAACUUAUAAAAAGGACUUCGAAUCCUGUUAAAUAAAGUUUUGUUU